GACGAACGCUGGCGGCGUGCUUAACACAUGCAAGUCGAACGGAAAGGCCCUGCUUUUGUGGGGUGCUCGAGUGGCGAACGGGUGAGUAACACGUGAGUAACCUGCCCUUGACUUUGGGAUAACUUCAGGAAACUGGGGCUAAUACCGGAUAGGAGCUCCUGCUGCAUGGUGGGGGUUGGAAAGGUUCGGCGGUUGGGGAUGGACUCGCGGCUUAUCAGCUUGUUGGUGGGGUAGUGGCUUACCAAGGCUUUGACGGGUAGCCGGCCUGAGAGGGUGACCGGCCACAUUGGGACUGAGAUACGGCCCAGACUCCUACGGGAGGCAGAAGUGGGGAAUAUUGCACAAUGGGCGGAAGCCUGAUGCAGCAACGCCGCGUGCGGGAUGACGGCCUUCGGGUUGUAAACCGCUUUCGCCUGUGACGAAGCGUGAGUGACGGUAAUGGGUAAAGAAGCACCGGCUAACUACGUG
rnacentral:rRNA from 1 species